rnacentral:rRNA from 1 species
UACGUAGGAUGCUAGCGUUGUCCGGAAUCACUGGGCGUAAAGGGUCCGUAGGCGGUUUGUUAAGUCUCCUGUGAAAGUUCAGGGCUCAACCCUGAAAUGUCGGGGGAUACUGGCAAACUUGAGACUGUCAGAGGCAGGUGGAAUUCCCGGUGUAGUGGUGAAAUGCGUAGAUAUCGGGAGGAACACCAGUGGCGAAAGCGGCCUGCUGGGACAGUUCUGACGCUGAGGGACGAAAGCGUGGGUAGCAAACCGGAUUAGAUACCCGGGUAGUCCACGCCCUAAACGAUGGAUGCUAGGUUUGCGGGGUAUCGACCCCCUGUGAGCCGUAGGUAACCCGUUAAGCAUCCCGCCUGGGGACUACGACCGCAAGGUUAAA